AUUGAACGCUAGCGGGAUGCCUUACACAUGCAAGUCGAACGGAGUGGCGAACGGGUGAGUAAUGUAUCGGAACGUGCCCAGUAGCGGGGGAUAACUACGCGAAAGCGUAGCUAAUACCGCAUACUAUUGGAGCGGCCGAUAUCGGAUUAGCUAGUUGGUGGGGUAACGGCUAACCAAGGCGACGAUCCGUAGCUGGUUUGAGAGGACGAUCAGCCACACUGGGACUGAGACACGGCCCAGACUCCUACGGGAGGCAGCAGUGGGGAAUUUUGGACAAUGGGGGAAAGCCUGACCCAGCCAUCCCGCGUGGGGGAUGAAGGCUUUAGGGUUGUAAAGCACUUUUGGCAGAGAAGCGGUACCUACAGAGUAAGCACCGGCUAACUACGUGCCAGCAGCCGCGGUAAUUC
rnacentral:rRNA from 1 species